UGGGGAAUAUUGGACAAUGGGCGCAAGCCUGAUCCAGCCAUGCCGCGUGAGUGAUGAAGGCCCUAGGGUUGUAAAGCUCUUUCACCGGUGAAGAUAAUGACGGUAACCGGAGAAGAAGCCCCGGCUAACUUCGUGCCAGCAGCCGCGGUAAUACGAAGGGGGCUAGCGUUGUUCGGAUUUACUGGGCGUAAAGCGCACGUAGGCGGACUUUUAAGUCAGGGGUGAAAUCCCGGGGCUCAACCCCGGAACUGCCUUUGAUACUGGAAGUCUUGAGUAUGGUAGAGGUGAGUGGAAUUCCGAGUGUAGAGGUGAAAUUCGUAGAUAUUCGGAGGAAUACCAGUGGCGAAGGCGGCUCACUGGACCAUUACUGACGCUGAGGUGCGAAAGCGUGGGGAGCAAACAGG
rnacentral:rRNA from 1 species